GAGAAAGAAAGAAAAUAAUAAGUCCUGCUAAUACUUACAACCAUGGUUAAACUCCAUGGCUAUCUCG
rnacentral:tRNA from 1 species